rnacentral:lncRNA from 1 species
ACGCCAACCACUCCGUGAUAUAUAUAUAUAUAUAUAUAUAUAUAUAUCUCCAUCCAUCCACUCCCCUAAUUUACUGAGUAUUUUUUUCUUUCUACUAGCCAAUACAAAACUAAUAUAAUAUUCACAUGCACAUUUAUGUCACAUAUAUAUAUAUAUGUGUGUGUGUGCAUGUAUGUAAUCAUUUUGACAUGUUUACAUAGGUCAUACAAGAUUCGCUGAGGCAAUUUUUUUCCAGCCAGGUGCUCUUUCUGUUGCCAACCUUCACCUGUUUCCAAGCAAGGUCAUAUUUUCCCCUUGUUUGGACAUUUUUUUUUUCACAGAAUAUUUCUAACAAAUGAUACUGUUAGUAUGGCAAUGCCAUUUGUUUACAAUUAGUAUACAAUAUCAAAACAAAGGGACACACACACACAUAUAUACAUACAUAAAUAUGUACACACACACAUACAUGCAUGCACAACGGGCUUCCUUUCAGUUUCCAUUAACCAAAUUCACUGGGUUAUUAUUAUACUAUAUGAUUUUGAUGUGUGUCCAAUUGUUCGAACAAGUGGACAACCUACUCAUUGAAUAGGCAUGGAGAAUGCCUGAGUAUCUCACAGACUUACAUACCUUUGUAAUUCUCAAUAAAAUUAGCAUAACAGUGUAACAAGGCUGAACUUUUGAGUUACCAUCCAAUGGACUUGUACACAGUUUCUGUUUACCCGAAUACCCUACAAAACUUGGGUUAACACAAGGGAAUGGUAAAGGUACUGCUGAAGUGCCACACUUUGGAAUUGAACCCAGGACUUCAUGGUUGCACUCAUCAUAUGAUUGUGUGUGUGUGUGUGAAUUUUUAGAUUCAUGCUAGUACAAUACAAUUUACCAUUUAGAAUUCUAGUUAUGAUAUACAAAAUUGUAAAUGAUUGAUAUUAUUAAAUUUUACAAAUGUAUAUAAAGUUGUUGAUUUUGGUUUUACGGGGAGUUUUUGCUUCAAUCUUAGUAAUAAAACAUAUGGUAGUUGACCUGAUUCCUGUACAUCACCAAAAAAAUAAAAAUUAAUAUCACACUACAUGCUGCUAUAAUAAAUAUUUUCAGCUUCAAAAACAUCAAGGUACAGCUAUUUUGUCAAAUUAUUUGAUACUGGCAAGAUUUGAAAUCUAAAAGAAAAAUGUGGCAUUGAAUAAAAAUAGCUUUCUAAAGCCUGGAAAUCUGGCUCUUUUACUCUACUCUUGUACCAUUUCUUACCAUGAUUGUAAAAUGUAACUGAAACGUUCUUUUUAAGACUGAUCUUUGUUGUUGUUUUCGACUAAGCUAAUAUCUGAUUGUAAAUUGGAUAUCUUUUAAAUGUUCAAAUAAUUGAAGUUUGUUAUGGCCCCUCUCAUGUGAACUGUGUUCACUUAUUCAACUUCUCUUCUUCAAAACAAAAUGUUUUCUAAAGAAAAUAAAAAUGAAAUAAAUAUUAAUGACAAUAAUGUAAAA